AUCUCUCGCUCGGGUGAAAUCUCUCCUGGAAGAUUUCAAGGUGUGUGCAGAGUUCUGAAGAAUAAAAGUCAACAGUCAAGUUCUUCUCCAUAUUCUCCAAAUCUGACGGAGGCGUUCCAUCAGGAAAGGGGGAAUGGUUGGUCGAUGCCUCCAGAAUAAUGAUACCCAUGACCCAGGCACAACAUGCUGACAGGGAAUCGGCUAUGGCAGAAAGCAUCCAUGCCAUCUACGUGAUCCGCCAUGAAGGUUCAGAAGCUACUGACAGUCCUGAGGACAUCGGAAUCAUUUUCAAAGGGGUGACUGCAUUUGGCUGCUUGCCAAACAUCCUACCCAGGCUCCGCCCUCGCAGUGACGCAACACCUUCGGCUCUGCUACACACACUCAGGAAAACUUUGUUCAGGUACUUUCGGGUUCCCUCCACAGCAGGAAACUCCACCCACUUUGUCGGGAAGCAAUCGACUUUCAGCAUCACCAACCGUCCUGGCUAGAGGCGUGUUCAAGGAAGUGACAAGGUUUGAGCAGAGACGCUCUAUUGGGACUAAGAAAAUGUUUGGUUUAAACUUUGG